AUGGGGGUCUCGGUGUCACCACAUCCCCAGGGUUGGGGUCUUUACUCCAUGGUGGCCCCAAGGUGGGGGGUCUUGGCUCCAGGAUGGGGGUCUUGGGGGUCACUUUGUCCCCAUGAUGGGGGUCCCGGUCCCAUGGCGUCCUCAGGAUGGGGGUCCCAACGUCACCAUGUCCCCAAUGGGGGUCCCAGCUCCAUGAUGGGGGUCUUGGGGUCACCUUGUCCCCAAGGGGAGGGGUCCCAACAUCACCAUGUCCCCAUGAUGGGGGUCUCAGGUCCAGGAUGGGGGUCCCAACAUCACCAUGUCCCCAUGAUGGGGGUCCCAGGUCCAGGAUGGGGGUCUUGGGGGUCACCUUGUCCCCAUGAUGGGGGUCCCAGUCCCAUGGUGUCCCCAGGGUGGGGGUCCCAACAUCACCACGACCCCAUGGUGGGGGUCCCAGGUCCACAAUGGGGGUCUUGGGGUCACCUUGUCCCCAAGGGGGGGGGGGUCCCAACCCCAAGAUUGGGGUCCCAACGUCACCAUGUCCCCAUAAUGGGGGGGUCCCAACCCCAAGAUGGGGGUCCCACCUUCAGAAUGGGGGUCCCAUGGGGGUCCCAACCCCAAGAUGGGGUUCGCGCCACCUUGCAGAAAUGGGGGUCCCAUGGGGGUCCCAACCCCAAGACGGGGGUCCCAACCUUUCAAGAAGGGGGUCCAUGGGGGUCCCAACACCCAAAUGGGUCCCACCUUCAGAAUGGGGGUCCCAUGGGGGUCCAACCCCAAGAUGGGGG
rnacentral:lncRNA from 1 species